rnacentral:rRNA from 1 species
GUGAGGAAUAUUGCACAAUGGGGGAAACCCUGAUGCAGCGAUGCCGCGUGGAGGAAGAAGGUUUUCGGAUUGUAAACUCCUGUCUUAAAGGACGAUAAUGACGGUACUUUAGGAGGAAGCUCCGGCUAACUACGUGCCAGCAGCCGCGGUAAUACGUAGGGAGCGAGCGUUGUCCGGAAUUACUGGGUGUAAAGGGAGCGUAGGCGGGAUUGCAAGUCAGAUGUGAAAUGCAGAGGCUUAACCUCUGAGCUGCAUUUGAAACUGUAGUUCUUGAGUGAAGUAGAGGUAAGCGGAAUUCCUGGUGUAGCGGUGAAAUGCGUAGAUAUCAGGAGGAACACCGGUGGCGAAGGCGGCUUACUGGGCUUUUACUGACGCUGAGGCUCGAAAGCGUGGGUAGCAAACAGG